UACGAAGGGGGCUAGCGUUGUUCGGAAUUACUGGGCGUAAAGCGAACGUAGGCGGUGUUCCAUGUCAGAGGUGAAAGCCUGGGGCUCAACUCCAGAAUUGCCUUUGAAACGGGGACGCUUGAGUCCGAGAGAGGAUGGCGGAAUUCCUAGUGUAGAGGUGAAAUUCGUAGAUAUUAGGAAGAACACCAAAGGCGAAAGCACUCUGCUGGGCCGAAACUGACACUGAUAGACGAAAGCUAGGGGAGCAAAUGGG
rnacentral:rRNA from 1 species